UGGGGAAUAUUGCACAAUGGGCGCAAGCCUGAUGCAGCCAUGCCGCGUGUGUGAAGAAGGCCUUCGGGUUGUAAAGCACUUUCAGCGGGGAGGAAGGCGUUAAGGUUAAUAACCUUGUCGAUUGACGUUACCCGCAGAAGAAGCACCGGCUAACUCCGUGCCAGCAGCCGCGGUAAUACGGAGGGUGCAAGCGUUAAUCGGAAUUACUGGGCGUAAAGCGCACGCAGGCGGUCUGUCAAGUCGGAUGUGAAAUCCCCGGGCUUAACCUGGGAACUGCAUUCGAAACUGGCAGGCUAGAGUCUUGUAGAGGGGGGUAGAAUUCCAGGUGUAGCGGUGAAAUGCGUAGAGAUCUGGAGGAAUACCGGUGGCGAAGGCGGCCCCCUGGACGAAGACUGACGCUCAGGUGCGAAAGCGUGGGGAGCAAACAGG
rnacentral:rRNA from 1 species